UUCUUUCUUUAUUUCUUUUUUCUUCCUUUCUUUCUUCCCCGAUCAGUCCCCCCUUUCGUGUUGCUUUCGUCGACGGCGAUCUACUUCCCACCAACGGCCGACGGUGGCGCUCACGGUGGUCUUCCCUUUCCCCCUUUUUCUUUUUUAUUCUUUGCUCUUUUUUCUUCUUUUUUUCUUUUUUGCUCGCUUUUUUUCCUUUUUCUUGCCUCUUGGUUGUCUUGCUAGGUACCGGGGUGGCGCGAGUGCGGUGGCGGGUGCGGCGGCACGGGCACGACGGUGGUGGUGGCAGUGGAGCAAUCAUGGCCUAGGGAGGCUGCUGGAGUAGCUCGGCUGCCGAUUGAGUGAUUUGACAAAUCUAGAAGGAUUAAAUUGUAGAGGGCGCAAAGUUUAUGGGGCAAAAAUGAAAUUUUAGGAAAAUAUAGGGCUAAAGUGUAAUUUAUAGAAAGUUUAGGGGCCUAAGUGUAAUUUACAAAAUAUUAGGGGUCAAGAUGUAAUUUUUGAAAAAUUUAGAGGCUAAAAUGUAAUUUUUGAAAAAUUCUGGGGCUAAAAUGUAAUUUAUUUUUUGUAUUUUUUUCAAA